rnacentral:rRNA from 1 species
UUUGACCUCAAAUCAGGUAGGAUUACCCGCUGAACUUAAGCAUAUCAAUAAGCGGAGGAAAAGAAACCAACAGGGAUUGUCUUAGUAACGGCGAGUGAAGCGACAAAAGCUCAAAUUUGAAAUCUGGCACCUUCGGUGUCCGAGUUGUAAUUUGAAAAAGGUAACUUUGGGAGUUGGGCUCUUGUCUAUGUUCCUUGGGAACAGG